CAGUUCCUGUCUGUCAGAAAACCUGAACCCGAACCGUUUGACAUCGCCGGCUUGAAGAGUUGAACUGGAACCCACCACGGGGAAGGUUUGGCGGUGCGAAAAAAGAAAGGGCAGGACUCGGCUGCCGGCUACUCUCUCCUGCGUGCUCUCCGGCGUUCUUAUUGGCCAACCGACGAUGCCGCGAGAUCUUCCUGGUUUGUAUUACGAUCCCGUGAAGAACCGAUACUUCCCGGUGAAGGCUCGCGGAGCGCCGUCGACCGCUGCGCCGGCACAUUCUAACCAACCUGAGCUAAGUUGUGAAAGAGAAAUAUACAAUAGGAAUUAUAUUAAGACAUUGAAGCUACUGGAAGGUAGAGAGUUGCAUGGGAGGUUUUCUGUCACUCAAUCAAAGAAGUUCAGUUUUCAGCAGCAGUAUCAGAUAUCACAAGCUUCGGCCCCUACUGUGUGGAAGUACCGAAGGACUGAUGGCAUUGUAGACAGUUCCAUGGAGCACUUUACUUCUUUUGUUCAAACAUCGGAAGGACAAAAGAGAACAGGAAUUCUAGCUAUGGGCAAUAUGGCUGGUUCCAUCAGCAUUUAUGAAGUGGGAAAAUUUGGACAUCUUGGUUCUGCAACAGCACGUACGCCAGUUUGCCUGAGGCCUCAUAGAGCUCUUCAGGAUGGAGGAAGGCCUGAAUAUAUAAGGGCUUGUGAGGGCUAUGUAAUACCAUUAUUCUCCAGUGUCUCUUGCAUAACAAGAAGGAAGAAGAUGCUAUCUUCAGCAAAUGAUCAGUUUUCAUCUAAUCAUUCAUGUGCAUUGGUGUCUAGUCUUGGAUCUGGAGGAUCUGGUGGAUCUGUAUAUGUUCUAGAUUUUGCUAAGCCAUUGGAUCUUCAUCAAGAUGUUUCAUCACUUCACAGUAGAUUGGUCAAGGUUGCUUCUACCAAUUGUACAAUUUGGUCUGCUGAUAGCAACUGUGAUGGUACAAAAGCUAUAAUUGGGACAAAUAGAGGAGCUGCUUUACUGCACUUGGAAAGACAAGAGUUGUCAUGGAUUUGUCGGACUAAAAGUGAUAUACUCUCUCUGCAGUUUGACCAUUCGGGAAACGUUGCUUUAUGUGGCCUUAGAAAUGGAGCAAUUAUAGUUAUGGACAUUCGCCAAAGGCAUUUGAAUUCUCUUGACAACUUUAGUAGAGCAUGGUCAUCAAUGGAUCAGAAGUCAAAUCAUGGGUUACAAGUUUCUAAGAACCUCAGGACCUGGCUUAAAGGAGAUGUGAGGCCCCUUGGGGCAGCAUUCAUGCCCUCAGCUGUUUGUAGCUUGGCUUCUCUUUAUUCGUAUGGCCAUUACUUUUUAGCAAGCUCGAUGGAUGGAUCGCUUGGCUUGUUUGAUUCACGUCUUCUUCAACGAGGUGCUGUUCAUCAUUAUGAAGGCCAUGUGAAUUCCCAUAGCCGUUUGCAUAUUGGUGUUGAUCCAACAGAAACAUUUUUUUUGGCCGGAGGAGAGGACUGUUGUAUGCGUAUCUGGAACAUUAAGACAGGGGAGAUUCUUUAUGGCUCAAGAAUUUCUUCUUCUCCAGUUGUGGCAAUGUGCUGGCCGCAGAAUGAAAGUGUCUUAUCUGCUAGCGAUGAAUUACCUGUAUCAAAUGGAGUAGAGUUUGAAAUGGAAUCUUCGGAGCUCACUCAUAGCUGGGCAGCCUGGCUCGGGUCCCUUGAGGGUCUGUUUUACAUCCAUGGUUCAUGAUGCAUGGUAAGGUGAGCUAAUUUUAGGUCCAUAAUCAUUAUGUUUUCGUAGUAAUGAGUAUCAUCAUGUCACACUAUAAGUGAUUAAAGGGGGGAAAAUCCGUUUAGUUAAUUCCACUUAUGCAGGUGGUUAUGGAGCUUGAUGAUGAUAAAUGACGAGGUAGUCAUGUCCUUUUUAACAAGUAUGGGCAAGAACUUUAAAUGAAUGUUUAUCUCAUGCUGCUUAAUGAACCUACUUGUUCACGGUAUUGUGAACUAUUCUUGUUUCAGCAGCAUAGAUGUUUGGUUUUGGUUAGUUGUUGAAUAUGCCAACCUUCAACUGAUUCGAGCCUAUUUUUCUAGAUAGAGGUUGGACUCUUAGCAGGAUUUACGUUCUUUUGGCGACUAUGGUUCUUGAAAACCUCACUGAACCGGAUUCCAGCACCCUACGAAGUAGCAGAGGAUUGGAGUACGAAGUUCAGGAGGACUCUACUCUUCUAUUGAGUCUGGAUUCAGGGUGCAGCGUGAUCACAACCUUCCAUAAUCAGGCCAUUGGAGCUUUUACCUUGCUGAUAGGUGCAUAUCAACCUAGAGCCAUUAAGGUUUGCCAUCAGGUGCAUCAUGGACUCUGAGAAAAGGCAGAAAGGGCAGCUCGUGUUGCUUUGAUGAAUCUUUGAAGAGUUCUUGCUUUAGCUCAAGCUCACAGCAGUACAGAAUUUUGUUUGGUUUCCUUUAGGAUCUGACCAGCAACCUAAUUGAAGAUGGAUAGAUGGUGGCAAAUUCUUUACAGAGGGUGACCAUGUCUUGGAACGGCAACCGUUCGAGAUAUGAGAACAAUGUAAGCUUUUGAUUUUCUUCCUCUUGCAUUUCCUUGCCAAAUUUUUGCCAACGUUUCUCUUUCUUAUUUUUGUCAAUGAACAAGCUGGGGAACUAUGGUCCUCCGUGUGAUAAUACUUGAGUAAGGAAGUGUAGGGAUCUAUUCGAUUAAUUUAUCGACUUUCAAGGCCUCUGUUUCCUGAAUAAAAUAUUUCCCUAUGCCCA